rnacentral:rRNA from 1 species
GAUGAACGCUGGCGGCGUGCCUAAUACAUGCCAGUCGAGCGAACAGACGAGGAGCUUGCUCCUUUGACGUUAGCGGCGGACGGGUGAGUAACACGUAGGUAACCUACCUAUAAGACUGGGAUAACUUCGGGAAACCGGAGCUAAUACCGGAUAAUAUUUCGAACCGCAUGGUUCGAUAGUGAAAGAUGGCUUUGCUAUCACUUAUAGAUGGAUCUGCGCCGUAUUAGCUAGUUGGUAAGGUAACGGCUUACCAAGGCAACGAUACGUAGCCGACCUGAGAGGGUGAUCGGCCACACUGGAACUGAGACACGGUCCAGACUCCUACGGGAGGCAGCAGUAGGGAAUCUUCCGCAAUGGGCGAAAGCCUGACGGAGCAACGCCGCGUGAGUGAUGAAGGUCUUCGGAUCGUAAAACUCUGUUAUUAGGGAAGAACAAACGUGUAAGUAACUGUGCACGUCUUGACGGUACCUAAUCAGAAAGCCACGGCUAACUACGUG